rnacentral:lncRNA from 1 species
UUCACAGCAGAAAUCUGUACCCGGUUUCUGUUUUCAUCCUUAGUCGAGCAUUUGGUUAGACUUACCAGGUUCACUGUGGGCUUCCCAUCACCAGUAUUCACCCUCCCUUGGCCUCUGGGGGCUUAGGAGAUGAUACGCACAGCCGUGGUGGUCUGGUGCACUAGAUGUGCUUGUGGAGACACGCUACAACC